rnacentral:rRNA from 2 species
AAUGGGNNUGAGACNNGGCCCAUAUUNNUACGGGAGGCAGCAGUAGGGAANNUUCCACAAUGGGNNCAAGCCUGAUGGAGCAACACCGCGUGAGUGAAGAAGGGUUUCGGCUCGUAAAGNUCUGUUGUUAAAGAAGAACACGUAUGAGAGUAACUGUUCAUACGUUGACGGUAUUUAACCAGAAAGUCACGGCUAACUACGUGCCAGCAGCCGCGGUAAUACGUAGGUGGCAAGCGUUAUCCGGAUUUAUUGGGCGUAAAGAGAGUGCAGGCGGUUUUCUAAGUCUGAUGUGAAAGCCUUCGGCUUAACCGGAGAAGUGCAUCGGAAACUGGAUAACUUGAGUGCAGAAGAGGGUAGUGGAACUCCAUGUGUAGCGGUGGAAUGCGUAGAUAUAUGGAAGAACACCAGUGGCGAAGGCGGCUACCUGGUCUGCAACUGACGCUGAGACUCGAAAGCAUGGGUAGCGAACAGGAUUAGAUACCCUGGUAGUCCAUGCCGUAAACGAUGAGUGCUAGGUGUUGGAGGGUUUCCGCCCUUCAGUGCCGGAGCUAACGCAUUAAGCACUCCGCCUGGGGAGUACGACCGCAAGGUUGAAACUCAAAGGAAUUNNCGGGGGCCCGCACAAGCGGUGGAGCAUGUGGUUUAAUUCGAAGCUACGCGAAGAACCUUACCAGGUCUUGACAUCUUGCGCCAACCCUAGAGAUAGGGCGUUUCCUUCGGGAACGCAAUGACAGGUGGUGCAUGGUCGUCGUCAGCUCGUGUCGUGAGAUGUUGGGUUAAGUCCCGCAACGAGCGCAACCCUUGUUACUAGUUGCCAGCAUUAAGUUGGGCACUCUAGUGAGACUGCCGGUGACAAACCGGAGGAAGGUGGGGACGACGUCAGAUCAUCAUGCCCCUUAUGACCUGGGCUACACACGUGCUACAAUGGACGGUACAACGAGUCGCGAACUCGCGAGGGCAAGCAAAUCUCUUAAAACCGUUCUCAGUUCGGACUGCAGGCUGCAACUCGCCUGCACGAAGUCGGAAUCGCUAGNNUCGCGG